ACUUUGGUUUUAAUUGGGUUGAGUUUUAUAAAACCCAAAUUAGCCAAACCAAACCGAAUCCAAACCGAACCCGAAACUAAACCGAUAUACCCACCCCUAGUGAACAGAAGUAUCAGAGAAUACAAGUAUAAUUAUUAAAAGUAUUCAAAACAAGUUAUUAUUGCAUAAACAAGUACACAGAAGGGUGGAUGCUUAAAUUAGAUUUCCUAUAAGAUAAGUGACUGAACCAUGAAAGCAGACCCGUAUUAGAGAUCUACUCCCACAUAGAAAGUAUCUAACAAAGAAUAAUUCUCAGAGAAAGAAAAAAGGACAAAAGUACAAAAGGAAGAAGAUAAAGAGAGAUUCUGUAAGAGGGAGGGGCACUAUAAUGUCGUUUUGGUUUCUUAUAACUUUGUUUGAGAUUUGGAUAUACAUAUCCAAUCUAAUCAGGUUGAGAUAUUGAUUCGGACGGCUAAUUUAAACCAUCCCUACCAUUGAAUUUGGUUUACCAGACCUCAAAUAGUGAAAUGGGCUGACUGACUAUAUGUAUGAUUUGUUUAUUGUCAUUAUUAUUGCAAUGAUC
rnacentral:lncRNA from 1 species